UUGCAGAAUAUAUGCUGAAUUCAAAAAUUACGUGCAUAUUUUAAGCUAAAACAAAGUUUCUGUGUCUGUGUUUAGGAUGCUUCAUCGAAGUGGUGGCUCAGAAGUAGACUGGCUGUUCAGUCUCCAGUGAAGCAGAUGAGAAGUGCAAUCGGAUGCUAGUAGGAUCUUCGUUGUUUGGUUUUGCUGAAGACAGAAUUUGUCCCAUUUGUCCCUGGUCUGAUCCAGCUGAUCAGUCUCCGCCAGAAGAACCAGGUACCCUUCGAUCUCUGAGUCCUCUAAUGAUCUUGCAAUGACACUGUAAGUAAUCAUUGUUUAUUGCAAACAGCUUUUUAAGCAGAAGUUUGGUGCCAGUCCAGCACAUUUUAUUAGCUGAAACAUUUCCUUGUAUUUCCCACUUGUAUUGCAACCUACUUUUUAUGGUAGAUUUAAGAGUAUGGGAGCCGUUUUGCUGGGCCUGAAAGGCCUUUAAAGGACAGAACCACCUCUUCAACUUCCCCACCCAUCUCCUUCCCCAGCAUCCCUCCUUUCAAAGGGAGAACAUCAGGAAGUUUGGAGAAUCAGAUGCGGUUCAUAAACCUGUGUCAAUAAGGAAGGUCUCCUACCCUGCUGGACAUGGUGUGCAGCCGCUUGUUCCUGCAUUUCAGCUCUCCUUCCUCUCAGGAAACCCAGACUUCAGGGGAAGGAAAUCCCCAAAUGACCCUUGUACA
rnacentral:lncRNA from 1 species